rnacentral:rRNA from 1 species
UACGGGGGGGGCAAGCGUUGUUCGGAAUUACUGGGCGUAAAGGGCUCGUAGGCGGCCAAUUAAGUCAGACGUGAAAUCCCCAGGCUUAACCUGGGAACUGCGUCUGAUACUGGAUGGCUUGAAUUCGGGAGAGGGAUGCAGAAUUCCAGGUGUAGCGGUGAAAUGCGUAGAUAUCUGGAGGAAUACCGGUGGCGAAGGCGGCAGCCUGGACCGACAUUGACGCUGAGGAGCGAAAGCUAGGGGAGCAAACGGG